rnacentral:rRNA from 1 species
GACCUGGCUGGGUGGUCUUGCCGCAAGGUAAGCACUGCCUCUGGUCGGGUCUUUCCUUCUGGGGAACCUACGUGCCCUUAAUUGAGUGCGUAGGGGAUCCAGGACUUUUACUUUGAAAAAAUUAGAGUGUUUAAAGCAGGCAUUCGCUUGAAUACAUUAGCAUGGAAUAAUAAAAUAGGA